CACGUAGGAGGCGAGCGUUGUCCGGAAUCAUUGGGCGUAAAGAGCGCGCAGGCGGCUUGGCAAGUCGGGUGUGAAAUCCCGGGGCUCAACCCCGUGACUGCAUCCGAUACUGUCAGGCUAGAGGUAGGUAGGGGAGAUCGGAAUUCCUGGUGUAGCGGUGAAAUGCGCAGAUAUCAGGAGGAACACCGGUGGCGAAGGCGGAUCUCUGGGCCUUACCUGAUGCUCAGGCGCGAAAGCUAGGGGAGCGAACAGG
rnacentral:rRNA from 1 species